rnacentral:lncRNA from 1 species
UUCUCAUAUGUAACUUGUUUUAUUUGUCGAGUUCUUAAGAAUCCCUCCUAAUUGUGGAGUGGAGCUGAAUUUUGAUAACACGAGCUAGAACUGUAGGGGUUCAAUUAAUCGUUAUUUUAGACUUGUAGGAGUAAUUUCUACCAAAAGAAGACCUCUAGGAGUAAUGAUUAUUGAGGAAUUUGGAACUUAAUUAUCGGAAUAAUUUUCUUAACGGUGUGUGCUUGAUUGAAAUUUUAUUUGUUUCCACAAUUAAUAUUUGUUUUUUUUGUUUGUUUGCGUAAACCGGAUAUUCUUCGUGUAUAACCACGGUGAAGACUAAUCUCAAAUUUUGUGAAAUCCAAAUGGGAGGAAAUUUGCCCUAAGAGUUUUAACAUUGUUGCAUGUCAACAUUCGGGUUCGAACAAGAGUCCAUUAUUAAGAUAUAAGAGACUCAUACAAUCUCAUUUAAGAGCUCUUGUGCAUCUCCCUCUAUCCCAUAUAAUAA